ACUGCAUAGCAAAUCAGAUUUUUUUUGCCCUCAAGUGACACAGAUGGCAUAUUUUUUUCCCAGUCUACAUGCUCCAAAGUGUUUAAUUUUUGUUUUUUUCCUCAGAUUUGGGCCACAUCAACUGGUAGUCAGAAUCCGAUUGGAAUCUGAUCUUUUGAAUGGUGACCUGAUUGCGACUUUUUCACCAUCUUUGGGCGAGCUACGUCAUUUGUGUGCGCAGGAAAAGGAUUUGCAACAAGUGGACUUGCAACACAACAUCCAGUUUUGGUUUCGGUGAGAAAAUUGUGGUAAAAAGUCGCCUCUUACCGGAGAUCAGCGGAGCUUGCGCCGUCCAUGCAGCUGCUGUGACUUCCCUCAGACACUGGCGUCAACACACCCGUGGACACACCCCUCCGACUAUCAGGUACUAUUUUAACUCACUAAAACACUAGCAACACAAUAGAAAGAUAAGGGAUUUCCCAGAAUUAUCCUAGUAAAUGUGUCUAAAAACAUCUGAAUCGCUCCCAAUGCAAUCGCCUUUUUUUUUUUUUUCUCUAGUCCUUCACUGUCAAUAUCCCCAUCCACAAAUCUUUCAUCCUCGCUCAAAUUAAUGGGGAAAUUGUUGCUUUCUCGGUCCGAAUAGCUCUUGAUGCUGGAGGCUCACAUUAUAAACAAUGUGAGGAUGUGAGGAGCCCUCACACCGGUGACGUCAUCGUCUGCUACUUCCGGUAAAGGCAAGGCUUUUUUAUUAGCGACCAAAAGUUGCGAACUUUAUCGUCGAUGUUCUCUACUAAAUCCUUUCAGCAAAAAUAUGGCAAUAUCGCGAAAUAAUCAAGUAUGACACAUAGAAUGGACCUGCUAUCCCCGUUUAAAUAAGAACAUCUCAUUUCAGUUGGCCUUUAAGGGUUAGAAUUGGGGGUUAAAUCGCCAAAAAUUAUUCCAGGGGGCGGCACCGCUGCUCACCACUGCUCCCCUCACCGCCCAGAGGGUGAUCAAGGGUGAUGGGUCAAAUGCAGACAAUAAUUUCGGCACAUCUAGUAUGUGUGUGACAAUCAUUGGUACUUUAACUUUAACUUACUCCUUUCUUUCCCGGAAUGGCACACUCCCAGUUCAUCAGAUUCAUGGUCCCAUCAGGAUUCUUGGUAGGCACCGCCACAAAACCCUGUGAGAGAGAGAAAUAUUUCAAUCUCAACUUGUGUUCAUUUAUGAUGGUAGCAAAGCCUUUACUUACAAAUGGAUGGUCUUUCCUCCAUGCUUUGCGCUCUUGGGACAGUCUGCUUAGAGCAAUGCCAGACAUUACUGCUCAUUUACCCCUUCGCUGGAAAUAACACGAAAUGAAAAAUGAAAUCUACACCAAAGAAUGUUGCUUUCACAAAAGACAACACGUCAGCAAAUGACGAGUCGUCGCACGCGUUAAGAGCCAUAUGACAGUGUUCAUUUAACGGUUGUAAAGGGACAAGCGGUAGAAAUGGAUGGAAUUACUUGACUCUGCAUCCAUUCACAAACUCCUCCUUACCAAUUCAAAUGUAAAACGACGUAUUUUUUCAAGCCAAGCUCACUGGUUAUUGUAGGGGUAAAUGUGAAAAUGUUGGAUGUGUUGUUACAAUUGAGCCGUGCUAGCGGCGACCGAAGAAAACACCCUUCGUCGUUGGAAGAAAAACACAAAUAAUGGACCAGUAGGGACGUAAAUGACACCGAUUAAACCUCACUUUGCUUAACAUUCCUCUGGUCGUCUAAAAGGAACUUGCUGGUGUUACAGUUACCAGAGUUGUCGUAUAUGGAGCAAAAUAACCCGCCUCGAGUUCUCGUUGUAGUGGCUAG